UUGUCUUAACUUUUCAUUUUGAAUUUUUGGUUGUUCUGUUCUUAAAGAACUUGUCAGGUUUUCAACUAGCAAGUAGUAGUAAUAUUAUGUGUGCUUGAGUUAUUCCAAAUUGAAGUUCAGUUUAUCACAUUAUCUUACGUUUGUUUAUUUUUGCCAAUGGUACAAAUAUAUUCGGAGGUUUCAAUGAUAUGUUGAAUUUUUUUCGUAAACAAAGACAUGGAUAUAUUUAUCUGAAUGAUUCUUUAGGGUGUUCGCUGAGGAAAGCCCGCAGGACGAAUGCCAGAUCACAACAUAGAACUUGGUCGGCUAUCCAAAACCAGCUCCAAGGCGGAAACUAUCGGACCCAACGCUGCCGAAGAUGACCCAGACGGCGCCGUUUCAUCUACACUGGACCGAGAAACGGAAACGGGUGACAUCAGGGCGCCUGGCGAGGACAGGGUGAUAUUCAUCAAUCGGGUCCAGCCGCCUGUACCCAAAUUUUGCAACAACAGGAUUUCAACAGCCAAAUAUAGUAUUAUCAGAUUCAUCCCACUCUUCUUGUUCGAACAGUUUCGAAGAUGGGCGAAUUGCUUCUUUCUGAUGAUAGCCUUACUCCAGCAGAUACCAGACGUGUCGCCAACUGGAAGAUACACCACUUUGGUGCCUCUGCUUUUCAUAUUGUCUGUAUCCGCCCUCAAAGAAAUCGUAGAAGAUAUAAAAAGACAUCGUGCAGAUGACGAAACGAAUCACAGCAAAGUGGAUGUGCUGAGGGACAACAGCUGGGUUCUGGUGAGGUGGAAAGACGUGAUUGUCGGCGAUCUGGUCAGGGUGACCAACAACAAGUUUUUUCCCGCCGACAUGGUCCUCUUGUCGUCGAGCGAACCACAAGGUAUCAGUUUCAUCGAGACCGCCAAUCUGGACGGAGAGACCAACCUCAAGAUAAGGCAGGCGCUUCCGAGCACGCAUAAACUGACCACGAUAGCCGAUCUGAGGAGUCUGUACGGUACCAUCGAAUGCGAGCCUCCAAACAGACAUCUGUACGAGUUUACGGGAGUUUUGAGGCAGGCUAAUAAGAAGGCGGAGCCGUUGGGUCCAGAUCAAAUUCUGUUACGUGGCGCCAUGCUGAGAAACACCUCUUGGGUAUUCGGCAUCGUGAUCUACACCGGUCACGAGACCAAACUGAUGCGCAACUCCACCAUGGUACCCCUGAAGCGAUCCAGCAUAGACAAACUGACCAACGUGCAGAUCCUGCUGCUGUUCGGCAUCCUGCUAUCGAUGUGCCUGCUAUGCGCCAUCUGCAACGUACUCUGGACCAAGAAACAUCUAACAACGGACUGGUACCUCGGUCUCGAAGGUGGUAUAACUCAGCUCUUCUUCUACAAUCUUCUAACCUUUGUGAUUUUAUUCAAUAAUCUGAUUCCGAUAUCCCUUCAGGUCACUUUGGAAGUGGUCCGUUUCAUUCAGGCGAUUUUCAUCAACCAAGAUCUAGAAAUGUACGAUCCGGAAUCGGAUACGCCAGCCCUGGCUAGAACGUCCAACCUGAACGAAGAGCUGGGUCAAGUGAAGUACAUUUUCUCCGAUAAAACUGGCACGUUAACGAGGAACAUAAUGGAAUUCAAAAAAUGCGCGGUUGGUAGUGAGAUUUAUCUGAUUGCGGACACUUUGGAAGAUUCCACUUUGUACAAGGACCUCCAGAGAGGCAACAGCCAAUCGGAACUGAUCAGGGAGCUGCUCGUCAUACUCUCGGUCUGCCAUACCGUCAUACCGGAGAACAUGAACGACGGUUCACUGGUCUACCACGCAGCCUCCCCCGACGAACGAGCCCUCGUCUACGGCGCCUCCAAGUUCGGCUACGAGUUCAGGAACAGGACGCCCGAUUUCGUGGAGAUCAGCGCGAUGGGCGUGACCGAGAGGUACCAGAUAUUGACGGUGUUGGAGUUCACGUCGGCCAGGAAGAGGAUGUCGGUGAUCGUGCGCGAUCCCGCCGGCAGGAUAAAGCUGUUCUGCAAGGGCGCCGACACGGUGAUCUACGAGCGAUUGGACGGCGGCGGCAAGGAGCACGCCGAUAUUUUGCUGAGGCACCUGGAGCACUUCGCCACCGAAGGUUUGAGGACCUUGUGUUACGGCGUGUCGGAGCUGAAGAAGCAGGACUACGAGGAGUGGCAGGAGUUGUAUCAUAAGGCUUCCAUAUCGCUGCAGCACAGGGAAGAAAAAUUGGAGGAAGCUGCCAACUUGAUUGAGACAAAACUGAAACUGAUCGGGGCUACGGCUAUUGAGGACAAACUGCAAGAUGGCGUGCCAGAAACGAUAGCCGCUCUUCUACAGGCCGACAUAAAUAUCUGGGUCUUGACAGGCGACAAGCAGGAGACUGCCAUCAACAUCGGCUACUCCUGUCGACUUUUGUCCCAAUCGAUGCACCAUGUUAUCCUGAACGAAGAGAGUCUAGACAUGACCCGUGAGGCCAUCCUGAAGCACAUAAUGGACAUGGGAGACCCCAUAGGAAAACACCAGGAAAUCGCCCUGAUCGUCGACGGAAAGACCUUGAAAUACGCCCUGAGCUGCGAGCUGCGCAACGACUUCCUCAAGCUCUGCAUCUCCUGCAAGGUGGUGAUAUGCUGCCGCGUCUCCCCCAUGCAGAAAGCCGAGGUGGUCGAGUACGUGACCAAGUACACCAACACGGUAACGCUGGCCAUCGGGGACGGCGCCAACGACGUGGCCAUGAUCCAGAAGGCGCACGUGGGCGUCGGUAUCUCGGGCAUGGAGGGGCUGCAGGCGGCCUGCGCGUCCGACUACAGCAUUGCGCAGUUCCGGUUCUUGCUGAGGCUGCUGCUGGUCCACGGUUCCUGGAACUACUCGAGGAUGUGCAAGCUGAUCCUGUACAGUUUCUACAAGAAUAUCUGUCUGUACGUGAUCGAACUGUGGUACGCCAUCUACUCCGGAUGGUCGGGGCAGAUCUUGUUCGAGCAGUGGUCUAUAGGUAUGUACAACGUGUUAUUCACCGCCUUGCCCCCCUUAGCGAUGGGCCUGUUCGACAAGCCGUGCAACGACGACAAGAUGCUGCUGUACCCCAAACUGUACAGGCCGUCGCAAAUGGGGCAACUGUUCAACGUGAGGGUGUUUUGGGUGUGGGUGUGUAACGGUCUGGCCCAUUCCGCCAUUCUGUUCUGGGUGACGCUCUUCAUAUGCAGCCAGGACAUCUUAUGGAUGAGCGGGAAGGACGGCGGUUAUCUCGUGUUCGGAAACUUUGUAUACACAUUUGUGAUAAUAACGGUAUGUCUGAAAGCCAGUCUCGUCAUAAAUGCUUGGACGUGGUUGACUCACGCCGCCAUCUGGGGCUCCAUAGUCUUAUGGUUCACGUUCAUAAUUGUUUAUAGUCAAUUCUGGCCGAUCAUACCCGUGGGUAGCGUGAUGACUGGCAUGUAUUUAAUGAUGUUUUCAAGCGCCACGUUUUGGUUGGCCCUUUUCCUAGUUCCAACAGCGACCAUGUUGCCAGAUUUCCUGGUGAAAAUCGUCGGGAACACCAUUUACAAGUCCUUCACUGACAAGGUCAGAGAGACGGAUCUACGACAUACUGAACAUUCCGCAUUCAGCCGAACUGAUCCAAAGGGAUCAACAAUGCAUGCGUUGGAGCGAAUUGCAACAUACUUACGGAGACCGCCCGUCUGUUGAGGAACGUGCUGACCAGGAAGUCGGUUAGAUCGGACAAUAUCGACCUGGAACUGAGCCAUGGUUUCGCUUUUUCUCAAGAAGAAGGUGGUGCUGUAUCCCAAGCAGAAGUUAUCAGAGCUUACAACACAACAACGCCCAAACCAGAAGAAACCUAAAAGUCUUAUGAAAUGUUCGAGUUGAACAAAGAAAUAAUUUCAGUUUCGUCAUUGAUAUAUUUACAAUUCAAUUUCGUAUUUUAAUAUGAAUUUUUUUAGCUUAUUCUAUAAGGAAAAAGUGUUGAAUAAGAAUGUGAUCGAUAGGUUUUUUAUUAAGUGUAACGAAUAUAGGAGGAAUCGUUCUUGAUUUAUCAGUCGUAAGUCAUAUUUAGGAUGAGAAAUUUUUGUUAUUUCUCUUUUACUUUGCGAAUUACUAUAUUGAAUGAAAUGAUUGGUUAUAUAGAUAUGUCUCACUCUUUCCUUAAUUAUGAGGAAGGUUUAAUUAGAGAAUUAACCGUAUUUGGGAUUUGAAAUAAAACUAUAUUAUUGAAUGUUAUCAAUGAAGAAAUAUCGAGUUAAUUUUUUGGAUAUUGAGUGGUACAAUAUAUAUAGUUUCAUGUGAUAAAUAUUCGAAAUAUUCUGAAAGGUUACUUUCGGUGUGGUUAAACGAGGUUCAAAUUAUAUCUAUAUUAAAUCCUUGAUUCUAUUCUGAUACAGAAUAUCCUCUUGAAACGACAGAGAGGUUUCGUGACGUAGCUUGAAACAAAAUUGAAAUAAAAAUGAUAAACUUCUCACAUCUCGAAAAAUCAUCUAGAAGUCACUAUAGUCGAUCAGUACAGAUAAAUCCGCUGUUGUACUUAACAUUCGGCAUUAUUCAUUUUCAACUUGUAGAACUUAAUUUUCCUAUCCUGUGAUCAUAUAUUAUAUAAAAGUUGUGUGUCAAAUGUUUAUAUAUAUUGAAGACAAAAUAUUAAACACUUGAAUUUGACUAAUUGUUGAUGUGCCUUUUUCGGGUAACUUAUUGUAUUCAGUUCACACAGUCGUUCAUACAUUUUGACAACCAUCUUCAAUCUUGAUAUAGUAUGUAGUUGUGUGUUUACAUGUCUACGGUUUUAUUGUUUCAAAUCUAUUUUUUUAAGAGGGCAUUUUGUAACUUGUGAUUAAGAAAAAUAGAUCUUUAAGCUUCG